AUUUCGUGGACGGCUUUUAUUGGUGGCUCGGCGUAGAUGUUGCGUGUCGCUGAUCGAGCGUUUCGUUUAGAAUACUCGAUCACGUUGUCUUAUCUAGUUCCGGGCAUCUACUGAACCUGCCGUCAGGAGCUGAAAGGUUACCCGCAUGGCUCCAGCUUCGGCUUUCCUCCGUGUGUCGGGGCUUCUUCUCGUUGGCUUCACCGCCGUCUGCAGAGCAGAAGUGCAGUUUGCAACAGCCAUAGACAUCAGCGACCUGGGUGAACGCGUGGUUCGCAAGGACCUGUUGCCCGCCUGCCAGGCUUGCAAGACAGUAGUUAAGACAUUCCAAAAUGGCAUUGAGCGAACAAAAAGGAGCCGCUUCGAUGGAGGAGACGUUGACUGGGAAGCAAGAAAUAUGGGCAAGUACUCGAAAAGUGAGAUUAGGUUCAUCGAAAUCCAAGAACACCUGUGCUUGGAGAUAGUCAAAGGCCAGGAACACUGCAGAAACAUGGCCGCACAGUAUGAAGAACACUUGGAAGAGUGGUGGUUCGAGCACCAGGACAAGGAGCCCGAUCUGCACAAGUAUUUGUGCAUUGACCAGGCUAAAGCUUGCUGCCCGGAAGGCCACUAUGGCCCCAACUGCGAUCCUUGCACGGGAGGAGCAGAGAACCCAUGCAAUGGACACGGGAGGUGCAAAGGCUCCGGAACACGCAAGGGUAAUGGCAAGUGUGACUGCCAUAAAGGUUACAUGGGCGAGCUGUGCGACUCUUGCACUGAGGGCUACUACGAGGACAAGCCAGGUGCCAAUGGCACCAAAAUAUGCACCCCAUGCGACAAGUCGUGCAAGGGCCCAUGCACCGAGGGCGGCCCCAAGGCAUGCAAGGAGUGCGUGGCGGGCUACGUCAUGAAUGAAGAACUGGGAUGCGUGGACAUCGACGAGUGCAUCGAGUCUGAGGAGGAUCUCUGUGCAAAGGAGAGAAACACGUUCUGUGCCAACACGCAAGGCUCCUACAAGUGCAUGAUGUGUGACUUCGCUUGUGACGGCUGCACUGGAGACGGACCGGACCACUGUGUCAAAUGUGCCAAAAGUUACGUCUUGAAAGACAAGACCUGCAUCGAUGCAACUGAUGCAGGUACAGUAAACGUUCUUGGCUGCAAUCACACCUUUGUUUUGAUGCUGCAUGAACAUUUGUGUAAUAUCUGUUAAAGGCCAACUGCAAUGAAAUUUUACUUUGGCUAAAUUGGUUAUAAUAUUGUAAAUGAGUAGUACUAGUGCUGUCGGCAACUGAUUUGUCAGAUGCCCGAUUUUUCGAACAUGCCUGAUGAUUCAGACACCUUCGCUGCACUGCCACGUACCCCGUAGAGGCACUAUGUAGAGACGUCUGAAAUUUUGAAUGCUGAAUCCCAUUGCUAUCUGAUUGUUUGGAUAUUGAAUUGCAUAAUGCUGGUUCCCGAAAGUCAGCUUCGCCGUAAACAGCUGUGUUAUGCGGUCAAGCAUACGCAACGUAUUGCAGUGAAGCAUACCAAGAGUGCAAAGGGACCACUCACAUGGGACAUAAAAUCUGUUCCUUAAUUAUACACGCGUGCACCUGCUGUCUCCUAUUACAGUACGAGCACCGAGAUGCCUAAUAAUUGUACUGGCACGCCUGUAAAGCUAUUUUGGGCGUGGCUGUGGCGAUUUGAGCCUUGAAGGCAGUUAAAGGCAUGCAUUCGUUUUUUUUUUUUUUCAGACUGCCCGAUAUUUAGGAUCUUUUCACGGUCCCUAGAAAGUCAGAAAAAUUGGACAUUGACUUGCAUACUAUGGGAGCAACCUUGGCAGAACUGCAGAGCUAGUAAUUGUCUCAUUUUCUUAUUAACAGCCUUUAAAUAGCUCCUAAGCCGAUGCGUGCACCAGGUGGUUAGUGGAUGCAAUGCAAAUCAUGGCCUCAGAGAUUUUCAGCACGUCAGGGGCAGAGCCCAGUCUUGAAGGACAUUCUAAGGAGCCAUGCUGGUUCACAACUUUCUGGGUUCUGUAACAACAGCAUUGUGCUUUUCAUAAGUUUCGGUACCGAACGUAUGUUAUUUUGCCUAGCCUUUCACGGCAUAUUCACUCGCGUUUCAAACUUAUAGGUUUGUCUGUAGGUUCCUCUAAAAAGUAGGCUUUUAGCGUGGUCCAAAAUUUCGUUGCAGUUGGCGUUUGAGAUAGUGCUUGUUACCGUGUCUCCUGAUUCUGUAUUCUAUCACUGCACGUCUCGAGGUUUGUAACGCACCCUCUGCAUUGCUUCUGUCUCGUGGCACCCUUCUGUUGCACUCAUUCUGCAUCUUGCUGCUUUCCUCACUUUUAGACGAGGAGGAGGGAGAAGACGACGUUCCAUACGAGGAGCCGGUGUCAGAGAGCGAAGAACCAACACUGCCCGAGUUCACGCACGGCGACGAACUCUGAGAGAUUUGCAGCGCACAACACUUCAUUUCCAGCCGCUCAAAAGAGUCAUUUUGUCUUUCAAAAAAAAAAAACUUCAUUCAUAUAUGUCAUAAAUACAUCAUAUGUACAGUUUUUAUACCCUGUUUCAUCUCUUGCGAUUUCAUCUACUUUACUAACUGUGUUACAAAGAUUGUGUCACAUUAAAAUGUACAGUUACCGCUGCCCUUGUAAGAAAAUUGAUCCAGUUACUGCUGAA